UAAAAAACGCUGUGCAGUCAUGUCUCCGGUUCUUUCUGCGCAUGCUCCGAACUUAACAAGAUAAUAUGUGUUUUAUAGCAUAAUGAUGCAAACAUAACAGUAUUUACAUUCAUCACAUUACUGUGCUGGAAAACAAUACAAAUUAAAUAAAAAAGAAAAAGUGUAGAAGAAGCAAAGCAGGACAAAGACAGAGCCCUGAUGAAGUCUGAUGACCUGAAGAGGGUGGAGCUGAGACUUCAGACAGCAGACGGACUUCUGAGGAGGAACAUCAGCACCACACGAGAGUUACCAGCAGAUGAUAAGAUUUAUUUGGGACCGAAUUUCGGGGGACGACGGCUGAACUGGAAGAACGGCUGCGAUGGAGAAACUAGCGCUAGAGCCACAUCCGGAGCAUCAGUAAAACUCGACGCAGUGCCAGACUCGACUACAAACAAGCUGCGCUAUCAGAGGAGGAAAUGGAGAAACGCUCUAAAUCCAUUAUUGAGGAGUUUCUACACAUAAAUGAUUACAAAGAGGUCUUGCAUUGCGUGGAGGAACUGGACCAGGGCGGGACGCUGUACGUUUUUGUUCAGGGGGGGUGGAGACCACGCUGGAGCGAAACCAGAUCACACGUGACCACGUGGGUCAUUUGUUCCAUCAGCUGCUGCAGGCUGGAUCCUCUCCACAUCUCAGUUUUUUAAAGGGUUCUCAGAAACCCUCGAGAUAGCAGAUGAUAUGGCGAUUGACAUUCCUUAUGUAUGGCAGUACAUAGCGGAGCUCGUUAA